rnacentral:misc_RNA from 1 species
GAUGAAGAACGUAGCGAAAUGCGAUAAGUAAUGUGAAUUGCAGAAUUCAGUGAAUCAUCGAGUCUUUGAACGCACAUUGCGCCCCCUGGUAUUCCGGGGGGCAUGCCUGUCCGAGCGUCAUUGCCGCCCUCAAGCACGGCUUGUGUGUUGGGCCCCCGCCCCCCGGCUUCGGGGGGCGGGCCCGAAAGGCAGCGGCGGCACCGCGUCCGGUCCUCGAGCGUAUGGGGCUUCGUCACCCGCUCUGUAGGCCCGGCCGGCGCCCGCCGGCGAGCCCAAUCAAUCUUUCCAGGUUGACCUCGGAUCAGGUAGGGAUACCCGCUGAACUUAAGCAUAUCAAUAAGCGGAGGA